GCUUCAUCCGGUUCCAUGACGAGGCCACCGUGUGCUCACCAAGAAGACAUGCCACACAAGUGGAAGGACGCAUCUUUGGACAAGGUGAAGGAGAAAGAUGUGAAGAUUCCGCCAUGUUGGUGCGGAGAUGUUUGCAAGGUGAAGGAUUCCACCGACCGAAAGAAGUCAUGGACCGAAGGAAGGAGAUAUUUUGUUUGCCCGAAUUAUGCUUACGAUCGUGCGCUUCCGACUAACGCCUAUGACCUUCCACCGGUAUGCUAG
rnacentral:rRNA from 1 species